rnacentral:rRNA from 1 species
AUUGAACGCUGGCGGCGUGCCUAACACAUGCAAGUCGAUCGGUAACAGGUGUAGCAAUACAUGCUGACGAGAGGCGGACGGGUGAGUAACGCUUGGGAAUCUGCCUUUUAGUGGGGGACAACCCGGGGAAACUCGGGCUAAUACCGCAUACGCUCUACGGAGGAAAGCCGGGGACCGCAAGGCCUGGCGCUAAUAGAUGAGCCCAAGUCGGAUUAGCUAGUUGGUAGGUAACGGCCACCAAGGCGACGAUCCGUAGCUGGUCUGAGAGGACGACCAGCCACACUGGGACUGAGACACGGCCCAGACUCCUACGGGAGGCAGCAGUGGGGAAUAUUGGACAAUGGGGGAAACCCUGAUCCAGCGACGCCGCGUGGGUGAAGAAGGCCUGCGGGUUGUAAAGCCCUUUCGGUGGGGAAGAAAAGCCUCGACCUAACACGUCGGGUAUUGACGUAACCCACAAAAGAAGCACCGGCUAACUCUGUGCCAGCAGCCG